CCUACGGGGUGCAGCAGUCGAGAAUCAUUCACAAUGGGGGAAACCCUGAUGGUGCGACGCCGCGUGGGGGAAUGAAGGUCUUCGGAUUGUAAACCCCUGUUAUGUGGGAGCAAAUUAAAAAGAUAGUACCACAAGAGGAAGAGACGGCUAACUCUGUGCCAGCAGCCGCGGUAAUACAGAGGUCUCAAGCGUUGUUCGGAAUCACUGGGCGUAAAGCGUGCGUAGGCUGUUUCGUAAGUCGUGUGUGAAAGGCGCGGGCUCAACCCGCGGACGGCACAUGAUACUGCGAGACUAGAGUAAUGGAGGGGGAACCGGAAUUCUCGGUGUAGCAGUGAAAUGCGUAGAUAUCGAGAGGAACACUCGUGGCGAAGGCGGGUUCCUGGACAUUAACUGACGCUGAGGCACGAAGGCCAGGGGAGCGAAAAGGAUUAGAUACCCGGGUAGUC
rnacentral:rRNA from 1 species